rnacentral:rRNA from 1 species
UCGACCUGAGAUCAGAUAAGAUUACCCGCCGAAUUUAAGCAUAUUAAUAAGCGGAGGAAAAGAAAACAACUGUGAUUCCCUUAGUAAUGGCGAAUGAAACGGGAACAGCCCAUCGCGUAACUGCAGGUCAUCUUGGCCUCGCGGAAUGUCGCGUUUGGGAGAGUCUCAUCGGGAACCGGACGGCCAGUCAAAGUCCAACUUGACAGUCGCCACUGCCCAUAGAGGGUGAUAGGCCCGUAAGGCGGCCGUCUGUUCCCGCUGACUUUUCCCCAGAGUCGGGUUGCUUGGGAGUGCAGCCCAAAGUGCGAGGUAAACUCCUCGUAAGGCUAAAUAUGACCCCGAGACCGAUAGCAAACAAGUACCGUGAGGGAAGAUUGAAAAGAACUUUGAAGAGAGAGUUCAAUAGUACGUGAAACUGUGUGGUGGUAAACGGAGGGGUUCUCGAAGUCUCUGUGGGGAACUCAACCUUGGUGUCGGGCGGCCAGGGCAUGUCCGAUCAGCAAUGACGGUGUGCUCUGUCCGGCUUGGCUCUCGGGUGCAUUUCCCCCGCAGUUUACAGCAGGAACCGUUUGGUACGGACCGAAGGCCCUGGGUGAAGUUGUCGCUUAUGGUGGCAGCCCCGGGUGWCCUGGCUCUGUGCUCGACGGGUACGUGAGAGGACUCGUACAGCGAGCAACGCUCU